GUUACGUUACAUCGUCCACUGUAUGGAAAGAUACCCGUCCGUCUAUAUGUACAAACAUCCAUACACAUAUGCAUUUAUGAUACAAAUUAUGUGAGUGUGUGUAUAUACACGCUGGCGCAACAAUUUAAAUCGAAUGCAGGUAUCUUCUUUCUAUUAGGUCAACAAGAAACGGCAAAAUAACCUUUCAAUCAAUUUCCAUCUCAUGCACGCGUAUACACAAGCAUAUCCGUAGGAUUGAGCCAGAUGUUGACUGCAUGAAGCGUUGCUGAACGUAUCCAUGAAGUUAAAAAAACAACUUGGUGAUUGGAAAAAAAUAGCUCAUCCCACAUAUUACACCAAGUUAUAUUUCAUAAUCGAAAAAUAUGAUAGUUUGUGACUUAACUUUUGCUAAAAUGAUUUCUAGUUGAAAAAGAUGUGAUAAAUUUAGUUGUCAGUUGUUAUUCGCCGCUUCCGACUUACUUUGCAAAUGGCUGCAGUCACGGUGUAGAACAGACGUCGUUUCUGCUUAUCAACACGGAAUGAGCGUGCGUUGUUCAGGUUUUGUUAUACGAGUGAAUCGCUGGCAGGACCACAGAGUUCUUCGCCGCGCAUGGAUAAUAUCCAAGACUGAAGAAACUAAUUGAACCAAAAGGGUAGCAAGGGGAUACAGUGAUGCCUGCAGUCAGUGUAUGCGAUCCAGUAGCGGCUGCACUCCGUCAUUCCCUGGAGUCUAGCCAUUCUAAAGCGAGCGACGAUCUGUCAGCAACAGUUGGGGUAAAUGCAUCGCGGAUCCUUGAGUCACAGAUAGAAUACGAAGAGGUCGCCAGUUAUCAAACAACAGUCUUGGAGCAGCUCAAAGCAAAAUAUAUAGUCUUGAGUUUGCCACAGCAGAAGCUCGAUCCAUCACAAUCUGGUCAAAACAAAAACGAUUCAUUCAAUAACUUAUCGAAAAACGGAGAGGACAAGAUAAUGGGACCCAGUUUGCCAGAGCCAACGGUGACACUCUAUCCUGCACAAAAAAUCAUUCUUGGCUGGAAGGGCACCUUGCCGGUUGGAGCUGGAAUGUACAAUGUUGGUAAUACUUGCUACCUGAAUAGCACACUGCAAGCGUUGUUCCAUGUACCUGCACUUGUGAAUUGGCUAUUGGCAGAUCAACAUCACAUGUCGAAAUGUGAACAGAAUAUUUUAGAUGGAGCUGGAGAAUGUCUUACCUGUGCAAUGGCGAAAACGUUGCAGUUCAGCCACCAGAAAUCUGGAUAUGCUAUCAAGCCUUUCUACAUUUAUAAUAAGUUGAAGCUUAUUUGCAGAACGAUGGUGCCUGGGCAACAAGAAGAUGCUCACGAAUUCUUACGCUAUCUGUUGGAAGGCAUGGAGAGGGCAUAUUUGUCCAGGCAUAGAGCAUCCAAGUUGGACAAUUAUUCUAAAGAAACGACACCUGUAAAUCAGAUAUUCGGCGGGUAUAUACGCACUGAAGUUAAAUGCCUGCAGUGCCGUCAUAUAUCUACUACGUUCCAACAUUUCCAGGAUCUCCUGGUGGAUAUUCGAAAAGCGAGUACUUUGGAUGAGGCACUCUCGAGUUACUUCAGUCGGGAGCAGCUUGACAAUAAUGAUUACAAAUGCGAGGCUUGCAAACGACGUGUACCAGCAACAAAGCAGUUCACACUUGAACGUCCCCCAAAAGUCCUAUGUGUCCAGCUAAAACGGUUCAGUGUUUUGGGUGGAAAAAUUUCCAGGCAUAUCGGUUUCAAACAGAUUGUCGAUAUAGGCCCUUAUCUACGGCGGGAGCCAGGAGAGUCGCCGCGUACGUUAACGUACAAGCUUACCUCUAUCGUCACUCAUAUGGGACCUUCUGUCAACUGUGGCCAUUACACCGCCGUUGCCCAAGUUUCUACUGGACAAUAUUACACGUUCGAUGAUUCAUGUGUGCGUCCGACGAGUCUGAGCAAUGUACUAAGUACAAAUGCUUAUAUAAUGAUAUUUGAAAUGGAGUCUCAGUUCCAACCGAAGUUGCAAAAUCAACAGCCAGCAAAAUUGAACGGAUUGGUGCCGACGAGAAAUUUACCCCUACUGUCUAAUGGUUGUGCAAGCAAAACAGUUAAUUUGAAAUCAUCGACCUCUUGUAUAAUUCCACUCAACGGCAUAAUAAACUCAUCUGCAAAUUGUCAGGAACCGAAGGACAGAGUGAUGAUUGGGCCACAAUUGCCUCCACAAAAAAUUAUUGGUCCUCAGCUUCCACUGCAGAAGAGCACCAAUUUCAUUGGCCCUCAACUUCCCCAAAAGCUGCUAGAUAAAUCUCAUCCUAGGCUAGUCAUGCACCUCAAGAAUGGCAAAAUUUCAAACGGCAGUAGCUUAGUACCGUAUGACGGAUCAAGUGAAGAAGACGAAACUGGUACAAACAGUAUCAAAAAUCUAACGCUUCCAAAUAGCAACCUUGUUUCAAAACUAGUAACCUCAACAAAAAAUGCUACAAAUGCUUCGUACAGGACGGGAUCUUUAUUAAAAGAGAAUUCCUCUAAGUUUGUAGCAAAGUUAAAAGAUGUGCAGAAAACUGUUGAUGGAAGUGACAACGCAAUUGUAAAUACAAAUUCGAAGUCAGUCAGCCAAAAUAUAACAUUGCAAGGUAACAAGUACCAGAUUGGUACGACGAAUAACGGAGUACAAAAUUCGUUCAAGUCCCAAAUCGUCAAAGGAGAGAUGAAUGUUAGGCCAGAGAUAAAUGGAAAAGAGAAGUUACACAAUUCUGCAAGAAUUAAGACUGAUCAAGAGGAACGAGUGCCUACAAAAGCUGGUGCAAGCAGUAUUAAGGGUUGGCAGAUAUCUAAGGAUACACCUUCUCCCACAGCAUCUACUACACCCAGUGGCUGGUCUGUUACUGACAACAAGGAAGAUGCAGUUAAAUCAGCGAACUACCAUACAGCACCACCAAGUGCCGCAGCACUACGAAACUUUGGCGGAACGAAUCGUUCAGACACAGUAUCACACCUGCUGAAAAUGUCCCACCGAGGUUAUGGCAGUUCUUCUGAAACUCUCCGUUCUGUAGCUGGUCGAACAUAAGUGUAAACGACAUACGUGAGGCUUGGUUUAGAGAAGAUACGGUGCAGUAGGAGCGCCACAGGCAGCUCAGUGUCAAAUUGGAACGGAGGACGAGCGCACCUCGAAAGAGAGAUUGGCACAGAACGCCGAGAAGAACGCAAGCGUCAUCUGGACUCUGAAGAAGAGGAAAUCGACCGAG
rnacentral:misc_RNA from 1 species